GGUGCUGCGCCGGGCUUGAACGGAUAACUCUGAUGACGUUAAUUACGGGUAUUAAACCCCUGCGCCU
rnacentral:tRNA from 1 species